GUGCUCACUUUGGCAGCACAUAUACUAAAAUUGGAAUGAUACAGAGAAGAUUACCACGGCCCCUGCACAAGGAUGACAUACAAAUUCGGGUAACAUUCCAUUAAAAA